rnacentral:rRNA from 1 species
GAUGAACGCUGGCGGCGUGCCUAAUACAUGCAAGUCGAGCGAACGGACGAGAAGCUUGCUUCUCUGAUGUUAGCGGCGGACGGGUGAGUAACACGUGGAUAACCUACCUAUAAGACUGGGAUAACUUCGGGAAACCGGAGCUAAUACCGGAUGAUAUUUUGAACCGCAUGGUUCAAAAGUGAAAGACGGUCUUGCUGUCACUUAUAGAUGGAUCCGCGCUGCAUUAGCUAGUUGGUAAGGUAACGGCUUACCAAGGCAACGAUGCAUAGCCGACCUGAGAGGGUGAUCGGCCACACUGGAACUGAGACACGGUCCAGACUCUUACGGGAGGCAGCAGUAGGGAAUCUUCCGCAAUGGGCGAAAGCCUGACGGAGCAACGCCGCGUGAGUGAUGAAGGUCUUCGGAUCGUAAAACUCUGUUAUUAGGGAAGAACAUAUGUGUAAGUAACUGUGCACAUCUUGACGGUACCUAAUCAGAAAGCCACGGCUAACUACGUG